CAUCUGAUAGCUGGCAUGGUGAAAACAUGAAGCAUCCGAUACUUGGAAACGGUUUGUCCCUUACUUCUACUCUUUUACAUGUAUAUGUAGCAUGCUCAUUCUGUUAAGAGUAUUGAGGGUAUUAUAGACAUUUCUACUUCUCUUGUACAUAUUUAUAUGCUCUUUGAGCUAAGUCAAUUGCAAUAGUUGAAAUCCCCAAUUUCUAUCUUCUCUCCAAAAGUGACAUGGUAUCAGAGCAAGGGAGCAAACCCUAGCCGUCGAUCCAAGUCCACGCCGGCACGCCGGCGGCGGCUCGCCGCCGGCAAGCCCAACUAACCCGUCCACAUCCUCAUUGAGUAGUAGUAAGUGCAACAGCACCGUUGUCAGCUCAGUUUCGUCCCCAAUCAGCAAAGGUUCUAGCAGCAGCACCACUUCCUCGUUCUCCUGUCAUCAAGUCCAUCGACAGCCCAUCGCGGCGGAAGUCGCGGUCAUCGCCGCCGGUCGCGCGCCAUCCGUGCCGCCCAGAUCUGGGCCGCCGCCCGCCGCAUCAAAGGCAGUCGUCAUCACUGAUUGUUGCUUUCUCCUCUUCAAGCGGCAGCAGCAGCGAGCCUGUCGUUCUCCAGUUCAUCUCCAAUGAGCAAACAAACAGGAGCAGCAAUCAGCCAAUCAGUGCCCCCGUCGUGGGUGCUCGUCCUCCGCCGGCCAGGCCCUCGUCGUCCAUUGCGGCAAGCCGCUGCCGUCCACCCAUCGAGCCGGCCAGCCGCCGAUGCUCAUCGUCAUCAUCUUCUCAUCGUCCCAGGCUAUUCCUGAACUUCAGAUCCACAUCAACCCCUCUCUCCGUCUUUGUUUUUCUGUUGCGUGUAUGCUCAUGGUCAAGUAGCAACAGGAUAGAUAGGAGCAGAUUUGAGGCUCUUGGACUCUUUGGUUAUGCAGCUGGGUUACAGCUAAUUAGUGAUUGAAGAAUGGGUUCCUGCUACUGUCAUUGUUCUUUUUGCAGCCACUACUAUCGAUAAGCCUUCAAAUCAAUUUCAUGUCUUGGUCAUCAAUUUACUAUAUUUCAUAUCAAGUCCAUCCAAGUCCAAUACUCCAAUGCAUAUCCUUUAAUUUGUUGAAUUUGCACCAGUUCAUCUCUUUUGCUACUACUUAGUGUCUGCUACUAUCAUUGAGUCAAAUUUCUCUACAAUUUAUCGAGUCAAUCCAAAUCCAUUGCUUACCCUCAAUUCGUCAAAGUCAUGCCAAUUCAUCUCUUCAUUGUCUUUUCUACAUCACCAACUCGCUGUCAGAGUUGGCUUUAAUCAUCACCAGUUCCCCGUCGGAGCUGGCCUUCAUUGUCACUUCAUCAUCUCCAUGUCGGAGCUUGUCAACAUGAUCAUCAUCACUCAGUGAAGGUCCGAAGAACAGUUUGUGAAGGGCCUUCAUCAACAUCAAUGUCUCAUCAUCAGUCAAAGGACCGAAGAACAGUUUGUGAAGGUCCAUUGUCAUCAUCAUCAUCAUCAUCAACAUCUCCGAAUCAAUGAAGAGCCGAAGAACAGUUUGUGAAGGCUCCAAGGUCCAGUUCAUUGAGAAGGGGAUACAUCUUUUCUUCUUCAUCAUCCUAGAAUUGGCACACUUCGACGACAUCAUCAAGGCUUUGGAGAUAGGCUAAUAUUUGGAUUGUGUUCUAGUGUUUAGUUUACCUUUCAAAUGCAAUGUUAUUGCAUACACAUUGCAUUUGAGUGGGGGUGUUAAGAGUAUUGAGGGUAUUAUAGACAUUUCUACUUCUCUUGUACAUAUUUAUAUGCUCUUUGAGCUAAGUCAAUUGCAAUAGUUGAAAUCCCCAAUUUCUAUCUUCUCUCCAAAAGUGACACAUUCUGUGACAACAAUACAUAUCAAACCGUCAAUUAUCAAGACUCAUGUCUUCUGAUCUCAAAUUCAAUGAAUGUUGAGCCAUAUUGAAAACAGUUGAUGUUGAGGAGUGUCUUUCUUAUUGGGAUCUUUGCACUGGGCACUCCUGCAGGUCUUUCACAUGAAGACAUCACUGAAGUACCUAACACUACCAACUUCUUGAAUGCUGUUGACGUAAUCGAGCCCAUUUGACCACCUCUUAGUACUCUAUCGCCCCUCCAUAACUGUAAGAGUGACUGUGUUGUUUGAGUUCUGAGUGUCAUCUCUUGGUUGCUCCAUUUCGAUAUCCCUUUGCGCAAAGUAAGCAGGUCUAUUUGGGGCUGGAAGUGAAUUGCUUCCAUUCUCCAAAAUAAGCAUAACAGAUGACAUGAGUGGCCUAUCAUUUAGAUUUUCCUGAACGCACAAGAGUCCAACAUGGAUGCAUAGCAUGACCUCAUCUAAUAGGCAACUUGCCACAAUAGAUGGGUCAAUCAUGUUUUUUGCCUUCCCUUCAUUCCAUAGGUUCCACGCCUGAA
rnacentral:lncRNA from 1 species